UUUAAAGAGCAAGUAACGUCUAAAUUAACUUUUUUUUGCUGAUGAACUGUAUAAAUGAGUGUCUAAUAGUGUUUUAAAUGUGUGCAUUCUUUAUUUUAGCAUUUUGGUGCAUUUUCUUUAAAAAUUAAAAAUUCUGUCUAAAAACCACAGUAAUGCGCCACCUUCAGCUGAAAACAUAGAAUUUGAGUCAUUUUGAAUAAAUUUUAGCCAAUGGCUAAAGAGUAAAGUACUACGUAAACCAGUAGAGUACUACGUAGCAGCUCCGUGCUAAGGUUAUAAAAGCAACGAGCGUCUCGGCCACGCCCUGUGGCGAGUGGGAGUUGGAUUUGCAAGCCAGCGUAGGAGGUCAGCGGUAGUUCAGCAUUAGCAUAUAGCAUUAGCAUAUCCUAGUCUUUAGCAUAUCUUUUAGUGUUAUAAAUACUUAUUUAGUGUUAGCUUGGCUGUUGGAUAUUGUAGUUUAGUUAGUGUUUGGCUGUUAGUGUAAUUGGGAAAGUAUUUCGGGUUUAGUGCUCCAUAUCGUCUUAGUAUUAGUGAGUAGGUGUAGUGUAGUAUGCUUGCGGUGACUCUGUGGGCAUUUUACCCGCGAUUCUGCACGCCUCCGUUUGAAGAGGGAGGCUGCCCACCGUGGCUCUUCCGCGAUUUAGAUGCAGCCCACCGACUCUGCUCCCCCACCACGGCGGGCUCCAGUCUGAGGCUAAAUCUACCCAAGACACUGGCUGUCAGACUGAUUUAGCUGCAUGAAUGCACUUGUCCAGGCUGACGUGAAGCCUUACCCGUAGCAAAGCCAGCCAGAAUGGAGUUCACAGCCGCAGUGUGUCUGGUGACCCACAGGGACCAUGAUGAAAAUUCAUCUUCCAGAAGGUCCCAGAGCAUCCAGACCCCCUGAAAAGACCAAGAUGUAAGGUGUCUGCUGUUGAUUCCAGCUUCCACCUCAGUGACAGUGCAAGCUCAGUGAACUGUUCAAGGUAAAAAAAAAAAAAUUUAAAACAUUUCAGAAUUUUUAAGAUAUUAACAAUUAAAUAAGUAUGUGAUUACAUCAUGACGGAGGCUACUGAUUCUGCCCCUGUGACACUUGGUGGUGACGUGUGAGCUGAUUCUCCUGGAAAAUAACUUUUACAUUAAAUAUUUUGUUUUUGCUAUCAAAAGUAAAUUAACUAAUAACCUGCAUUAUUGCAGGACACUCAGCAAAAUAUGGACUCUACACCAUGAGGCAUGCACACAUUAAUAUUCUAUAAGAGCACAUAAGGUGAGCAACACCACAUAUUGUACACUGUCCUGAAUUUGUUUUCUUUCUGCAUCUCAUUAGCCUGGCUGAUCACCUGAUAACC